rnacentral:lncRNA from 1 species
UUCAGAACAUGGAUGAAUUGGUUUUGCAGUUGUCUUUGCUUUUUCUUUUGGAAGCAGAUAAGAAAAAGCCUUCUAGGAAGCCUGCACACGUUUGUUGGUAACUAAACUUUUGCUGAUGAUUUUAUGCUUCUCAGAUAGGUACUAGACGUAACUGCUCUUUCCUGGUGACCUGUUCGGUGUCCUUUGUUUCUGCGGGUUCUUAUGAGCAGCCUUUUUUUUCAGCUGGCUGGCACAGGACCGUGGCCAUCAUAUCCAGUGACAUGUAGUACAGAGGACUGCGUUCAAGUAGGGACAGGAGUUUAUGUGGCCAAAUGGCUGAAGGAGAAUCUGGAUGUGAGCUGAUUUCUCCCUCUUCUCCACGUGCAAGACUUAGGGCUCAUGCACAGGCAGGCUGGGGCAGCAUGGAUGCUCGGGCGAGCCAGGACUCCAGGAUCAGGUGAAGGAGGAUUCUCAUUCCAAUGCAACACCACAGAAAGCAGAGAUGUCCUGAAGCACCUAACCCUACCAUUUGCAAAACUAGUGCUUUAAGGGCGAGAACCCAGCAGUGUGGAGCCACUGCAGGAAGGACACAGCUUUCACCCAUCUGGCAGAAGAGGUGGCGGACAGUCCCCAGAUCCUUCAGCUGAUGCUGUUUUCUCCUCUCCUUCAAGUAAG